AUCAGGCCCGAUGACACCAGCUCUCAGUGCCUCUUCCACGGAGUGCCUUCUGUUUUCUUUGGGGUCGAUGACGAAGCCGGUGGCAGCCUGGGCCUCCAGGAGGAUGAGUGCAGUGCCGGGCCUGAGAAGUCCCUUCCUGCGGGCCUCGUGGAUGCUGAGGCGCUCCUGGGAAGCGGGCAGAAGCAGGCCAGCGAUGCAGCCCGUGCCCUGCAGGUACCUCCGCACAGAGGCCAAGCUGCCCACGUGCUGGGCCGAGGUCUGCCCGUGUUCCAGCUGCUCAUAUAGCUUCUGGUCGAUGAUCUCUGCUUUCAGCAGCUCUCCUGGAGUCACAGUGUCCCUCAGUCCAACAAAGGUGACCCUGGCUGUGGCUUCAGCCUGCUCAAUGGUGGCCUUCAGCUCUGCUGCCAGCUCUUCUACUGAGAGGGUCCCUUCCUGGUGCUGCUGGGCCAGCCUUGACCUCUGUUCCACAGAGACGGCCUCAGAGAAGAGCAGCUCCCAGAGGGACACGGGCCGGCCCUGGAACUUCCCCACAGAGACGGAGGUCAUGGCUGCACUCAAGGCCUCCUGAGUGUGGUGGCCAAUGAAUGAGGGUCCCUGGGGCACCUCUCUACGGGGUCCCCCGGGGAGAGGUAGGAAGGCAAGCCCCGUCUCUGGGUCGGUGACACAGAGGGCCAGCAGCUGCCCGUAAGACAGGUUGCUGUGUGUGCUGGGGUCUGAGAAGCCCGUGGCCUGGGAGAGGUGCUGCCAAGUCUCUUCAUCCAGGCAGCCAAAACGCAGGGCAGCCUCCAGAGGUAGCCGGAACCUACGGGUCGGGCAGACCAGUCCACCCGUGGCCAGCUGGGCAUCCAGGAGGCGCAGGGCCAGCGACCUGUCCACCAAGUCCUUCUUCAUGGCCUGGAAGAGGGGGAUGCGGGAGCUGCUAAAGGGGUCAUGGUACCCAGUCAUCGCCUGCUCUGCCACCAGCAGCUGCUCAUAAAGUUCUGGGCCAACCAGGCCUACCCUGACCGCCUCGUCCACAUACAGCUUCCGGCCCGUCGCCAGGUCCACCAGGGUGUGGGUGGCAGCCUGAGCUUCCAGGAGCGGGAGUACAGCACCCAUUGGGACCAGGUGCUCGGCUGCAGCCUGGAAGAAGCCCUUCUUGUGGCCUUCGGGCAGCAGGACGACCCCUGCCACACCGCCAGUGCCCUCCAGGUGGCGCCUCACCUCAGGGCGAGCACUCACACCUGGCUCUGUCAGUGUGCCCUCCUGCAGGCCUUGGACUGUCUCUUCAUCCAGGACCCCUGCCUCCUGCAGCUCAGCCACACUGGCCGCCCCACACAGGGUAUGGAAGGUGGUCUUGAGUGGCAGCAGGGCCAGCCCUGAGCCAGGGUCCUGCACACACCGGCCCAGAAGGGCGGAGUACGGCAGCGGCUCCAGUGUGUUGGGGUCAAGGAAACCUGGAGUGUCCAUGCUGGGCUCCUGCUCAUCCAGACUGAGCCACGUCUCCUGGUCCAGGAGGCCCUUCUGGCAGGCUAGUGCUGGGGCAACUCGCAUGCCCUGGACGGGGUCCACCAGGCCCCCAGUGGCCAGCUGGGCCUCCAGCCAGCGGCAUCCCAGGGUCCUGUUGACAACUUCCUUCCUGAGGGCCUGGAAGAGGGCCAGCUUCUCACCCCCAUAGGGGUCAGGAUAGCCAGUGACCGCGCGCUCAGCAGCCAGCAGCUUUUCCUUCAGCUCCAGCCCUACCAGGCCCUGCCGCAGGGCCUCAGACACGGGCAGCAGCUGGCCCUGGGCGGGGUCCACCAGGCCCCCAGUGGCUGCUUGGGCCUCCAGCAGAGCCAACCCCAGCCCUGCGGGCAGCAGGCUCCGCUUCAUGGCAGCGUAGACACUCAGCGUCUGCCCCGAGGCCUCCACACGCACCCCCGCAAUGCUCCUGGCUCUGGAGGGUGCGGCUGCCUCUGCCUGGGGCUUGGAGGGGGCACUGGCUCCCAGCCCAGCCUCCAUGUUUUUGGGGAUGAAGGCCUGCUCAGCACCGUUGGUGAACAGGGUAUCAAGAGGAGGAGUGACCUGGCCAUUCAUUGCAAACAGCUGGUCUUGCAGAACCCAGUUGAGGUCACACGUGUCCUGCGGUCACAGAAAGAUACAGUCAGAGAUGAGCCUCUGGGCAGGCAGGGGAGGCAAGGUCAUAAGGUCAAUCCCAGACCCUUCCCAAGCUGGUGAGCCCUGGAUCUACCUCCAGAGACAUGGCUGGAGCAGCCCCGGGCAGCCUCAUCUUGGUAGCAGAGGGCCCGGGUGCAGCUCACUCUCUUGGGGUGUGAGCAUUCGCAGUCACCAUAGGGGAAGGGCCCUCCCUUACCCUGCAGGAUCCCCAAGGCAGAGCGGAAGAAGCUUCCCAGCAUGCUAAGAAGAGCAGUGGACUGUAAAGGCAUGGACCAGGGUUUGGCUACCAGGCCACCUCCCAGGGUCUGAGGGCUCUGUUUUCUCCUGCGGGUUGUCCCUUGGUGUCCACCACAGCUCUAGGCCCAGGGUGGGGAGCUUGGAGCCCUCCCAGACCCUAACUCUGCUAUGGCUCUGCUGCACCUACCCCCUGCUCCAAGGUCCCUGGAUCCAACAGACACAUGCCGGUCCUUCACCCCUGCUGGGCUGGGUCAUCUGGCUCCAGGCCCCAGGACUGUACCAACUACCUCUGCCUGGACCUGUCCCUUUCUAAGCUGCGUUGAAUUGAUCACCCGGAAAGAUAUGUCAAAAUCCUAAGC
rnacentral:lncRNA from 1 species